GAUGAACGCUAGCGGCAGGCUUAACACAUGCAAGUCGAGGGGUAACAGGGAGUGCUUGCACUCUGCUGACGACCGGCGCACGGGUGCGUAACGCGUAUGCAACCUACCUUCUACAGGGGGAUAGUCCAGAGAAAUUUGGCAUAAUACCCCAUACGAUCAUUUAUUGGCAUCGAUAGAUGAGGAAAACUCCGGUGGUAGAAGAUGGGCAUGCGUCCUAUUAGUUAGUUGGUAAGGUAACGGCUUACCAAGACAUCGAUAGGUAGGGGUCCUGAGAGGGAGAUCCCCCACACCGGUACUGAGACACGGACCAGACUCCUACGGGAGGCAGCAGUGAGGAAUAUUGGACAAUGGAGGCAACUCUGAUCCAGCCAUGCCGCGUGCAGGAAGACGGCCCUACGGGUUGUAAACUGCUUUUAUACAGGAAGAAACGCCGCUACGUGUAGCGGUUUGACGGUACUGUACGAAUAAGGAUCGGCUAACUCCGUGCCAGCAGCCGCGGUAAUACGGAGGAUCCAAGCGUUAUCCGGAAUCAUUGGGUUUAAAGGGUCCGUAGGCGGUUUUUUAAGUCAGAGGUGAAAUCCUGCAGCUCAACUGUAGCAUUGCCUUUGAUACUGAAAGACUUGAGUUAUUGUGAAGUAGUUAGAAUGUGUAGUGUAGCGGUGAAAUGCAUAGAUAUUACACAGAAUACCGAUUGCGAAGGCAGAUUACUAACAAUAUACUGACGCUGAGGGACGAAAGCGUGGGUAGCGAACAGGAUUAGAUACCCUGGUAGUCCACGCCGUAAACGAUGGAUACUAGCUGUUCGACCAACAUUGGUUGGUUGAGUGGCUAAGCGAAAGUGAUAAGUAUCCCACCUGGGGAGUACGCUCGCAAGAGUGAAACUCAAAGGAAUUGACGGGGGCCCGCACAAGCGGUGGAGCAUGUGGUUUAAUUCGAUGAUACGCGAGGAACCUUACCAGGGCUUAAAUGUAAGUUGCAUAGAUCAGAGAUGGUCUUUUCUUCGGACUACUUACAAGGUGCUGCAUGGUUGUCGUCAGCUCGUGCCGUGAGGUGUCAGGUUAAGUCCUAUAACGAGCGCAACCCCUGUCGUUAGUUGCCAGCAAGUAAAGUUGGGCACUCUAGCGAGACUGCCGGUGCAAACCGCGAGGAAGGUGGGGAUGACGUCAAAUCAUCACGGCCCUUACGUCCUGGGCUACACACGUGCUACAAUGGCCGGUACAGAGAGCAGCCACUCCGCGAGGAGGAGCGAAUCUAUAAAACCGGUCUCAGUUCGGAUCGCAGUCUGCAACUCGACUGCGUGAAGCUGGAAUCGCUAGUAAUCGGAUAUCAGCCAUGAUCCGGUGAAUACGUUCCCGGGCCU
rnacentral:rRNA from 1 species